UGAGUAACACGUAUCCAACCUGCCGUCUACUCUUGGACAGCCUUCUGAAAGGAAGAUUAAUACAAGAUGGCAUCAUGAGUUCACAUGUUCACAUGAUUAAAGGUAUUCCGGUAGACGAUGGGGAUGCGUUCCAUUAGAUAGUAGGCGGGGUAACGGCCCACCUAGUCUUCGAUGGAUAGGGGUUCUGAGAGGAAGGUCCCCCACAUUGGAACUGAGACACGGACCAA
rnacentral:rRNA from 1 species